rnacentral:rRNA from 1 species
AAAAGCUCGUAGUUGGAUCUCGGCUCGGCCCGAACGGUCCUCCUACCGGUGGUUACUGUUUGCGGUCGAGUAUUCGUCGGUUUCUCUUGGUGAUCUUAACCGGUUGUCUCGAGUGACGGGCAAGUUUACUUUGAAAAAAUUAGAGUGCUCAAAGCAGGCGUGAUGCCUGAAUAAUCGUGCAUGGAAUAAUGGAAUAGGACCUCGGUUCUGUUUCGUUGGUUUUCGGAACGCGAGGUAAUGAUUAAGAGGAACGGACGGGGGCAUUCGUAUUGCGUCGCUAGAGGUGAAAUUCUUGGACCGUCGCAAGACGAACUACUGCGAAAGCAUUUGCCAAGAAUGUUUCCAUUAAUCAAGAACGAAAGUUAGAGGUUCGAAGGCGAUCAGAUACCGCCCUAGUUCUAACCAUAAACGAUGCCAGCCAGCGAUCCGGCUGUGUUCCUCAAAUGACACGCCGGGCAGCUUCCGGGAAACCAAAGCCUUUGGGUUCCGGGGGAAGUAUGGUUGCAAAGCUGAAACUUAAAGGAAUUGACGGAAGGGCACCACCAGAAAUGGAGCCUGCGGCUUAAUUUGACUCAACACGGGAAAACUUACCCGGCCCGGACACAGGAAGGAUUGACAGAUUAAGAGCUCUUUCUUGAUUCUGUGGGUGGUGGUGCAUGGCCGUUCUUAGUUGGUGGGGCGACUUGUCUGGUUAAUUCCGAUAACGAACGAGACUCUAGCCUACUAAAUAGACGUUCCGAUCCUCUUUCGUCGGACGUUCUUCUUAGAGGGACAAGCGGCGUUUAGCCGCACGAGACAGAGCAAUAACAGGUCUGGGAUGCCCUUAGAUGUCCGGGGCCGCACGCGCGCUACAUUGAAGGAAUCAGCGUGUGCUCUCCCUGUCCGAGAGGACUGGGUAACCCGUUGAAACUCCUUCGUGCUGGGGAUUGGAAAUUGUAAUUGCUUCCAUGAACGAGGAAUUCCCAGUAAGCACGAGUCAUAAGCUUGUGUUGAUUACGUCCCUGCCCUUUGUGCACACCGCCCGUCGCUACUACCGAUUGAAUGAUUUAGUGAGGUCUUCGGACUGGCGCUCGGAUUGGCCUUCGCGGUCGAGAUGGUGUGCCGGAAAGAUGCCCAAACUUGAUCAUUUAGAGGAAGUAAAAGUCGUAACAAGGUUUU